rnacentral:rRNA from 1 species
GACGAACGCUGGCGGCGUGCUUAACACAUGCAAGUCGAACGGAAAGGCCCUGCUUUUGUGGGGUUCUCGAGUGGCGAACGGGUGAGUAACACGUGAGUAACCUGCCCUUGACUUUGGGAUAACUUCAGGAAACUGGGGCUAAUACCGGAUAGGAGCUCCUGCUGCAUGGUGGGGGUUGGUAAGUUUCGGCGGUUGGGGAUGGACUCGCGGCUUAUCAGCUUGUUGGUGGGGUAGUGGCUUACCAAGGCUUUGACGGGUAGCCGGCCUGAGAGGGUGACCGGCCACAUUGGGACUGAGAUACGGCCCAGACUCCUACGGGAGGCAGCAGUGGGAAAUAUUGCACAAUGGGCGGAAGCCUGAUGCAGCAACGCCGCGUGCGGGAUGACGGCCUUCGGGUUGUAAACCGCUUUCGCCUGUGACGAAGCGUGAGUGACGGUAAUGGGUAAAGAAGCACCGGCUAACUACGUG